UACGUAGGUGGCGAGCGUUGUCCGGAUUUACUGGGCGUAAAGGGAGCGUAGGCGGACUUUUAAGUGAGAUGUGAAAUACUCGGGCUCAACUUGAGUGCUGCAUUUCAAACUGGAAGUCUAGAGUGCAGGAGAGGAGAAUGGAAUUCCUAGUGUAGCGGUGAAAUGCGUAGAGAUAAGGAAGAACACCAGUGGCGAAGGCGAUUCUCUGGACUGUAACUGACGCUGAGGCUCGAAAGCGUGGGGAGCAAACAGG
rnacentral:rRNA from 1 species